GGCCUCGUGGCCUAAUGGCAUGGCGUCAGAUUUCGGUUAUUCCCAAACAAUAAUUGCAUUCUCUGAAGAUUGUCGGUUCGAAUCCGGCCGAGGUCG